rnacentral:tRNA from 2 species
GGUGGCAUAGCUCAGCUGGUAGAGCGCAGGACCGAUAAUCCUGAUGUCCGAGGUUCGAUCCCUCGUGCCACCACCA